UUUAUGGAGAGUUUGAUCCUGGCUCAGGAUGAACGCUGGCGGCGUGCCUAAUACAUGCAAGUCGAGCGAACGGACGAGAAGCUUGCUUCUCUGAUGUUAGCGGCGGACGGGUGAGUAACACGUGGAUAACCUACCUAUAAGACUGGGAUAACUUCGGGAAACCGGAGCUAAUACCGGAUAAUAUUUUGAACCGCAUGGUUCAAAAGUGAAAGACGGUCUUGCUGUCACUUAUAGAUGGAUCCGCGCUGCAUUAGCUAGUUGGUAAGGUAACGGCUUACCAAGGCAACGAUGCAUAGCCGACCUGAGAGGGUGAUCGGCC
rnacentral:rRNA from 1 species